CCUACGGGUGGCAGCAGUAGGGAAUAUUGCGCAAUGGGGGAAACCCUGACGCAGCGACGCCGCGUGGGGGAUGAAGGUUUUCGGAUUGUAAACUUCUGUCAGCAGGGAAGAUAAUUACGUUAGCUAACGAGUAGUCAACUGCUAACUCCGGUCCAGCAACCGCGGUAAUACGGAGGGUGCAAGCGUUAGUCGGUAUGACUGGUCGGAAAGGGCGCGGGGGCGGGAUGGCAAGUCAGAGGUGAAAUCCCUGGGCUUAACCAGGGGACUGAAUUUGGAACUGGUAUUCUGAAGUAUGCGAGAGGAUGGUGGAAUUCUGGGUGUAGGGGUGAAAUCCGUAGAUAUCAAGAGGAAUA
rnacentral:rRNA from 1 species